AGAGUUUGAUCCUGGCUCAGAACGAACGCUGGCGGCGUGGAUAAGACAUGCAAGUCGAACGAGAGAAUUGCUAGCUUGCUAAUAAUUCUCUAGUGGCGCACGGGUGAGUAACACGUGAGUAACCUGCCCCCGAGAGCGGGAUAGCCCUGGGAAACUGGGAUUAAUACCGCAUAGUAUCGAAAGAUUAAAGCAGCAAUGCGCUUGGGGAUGGGCUCGCGGCCUAUUAGUUAGUUGGUGAGGUAACGGCUCACCAAGGCGAUGACGGGUAGCCGGUCUGAGAGGAUGUCCGGCCACACUGGAACUGAGACACGGUCCAGACACCUACGGGUGGCAGCAGUCGAGAAUCAUUCACAAUGGGGGAAACCCUGAUGGUGCGACGCCGCGUGGGGGAAUGAAGGUCUUCGGAUUGUAAACCCCUGUCAUGUGGGAGCAAAUUAAAAAGAUAGUACCACAAGAGGAAGAGACGGCUAACUCUGUGCCAGCAGCCGCGGUAAUACAGAGGUCUCAAGCGUUGUUCGGAAUCACUGGGCGUAAAGCGUGCGUAGGCUGUUUCGUAAGUCGUGUGUGAAAGGCGCGGGCUCAACCCGCGGACGGCACAUGAUACUGCGAGACUAGAGUAAUGGAGGGGGAACCGGAAUUCUCGGUGUAGCAGUGAAAUGCGUAGAUAUCGAGAGGAACACUCGUGGCGAAGGCGGGUUCCUGGACAUUAACUGACGCUGAGGCACGAAGGCCAGGGGAGCGAAAGGGAUUAGAUACCCCUGUAGUCCUGGCAGUAAACGGUGCACGCUUGGUGUGCGGGGAAUCGACCCCCUGCGUGCCGGAGCUAACGCGUUAAGCGUGCCGCCUGGGGAGUACGGUCGCAAGAUUAAAACUCAAAGAAAUUGACGGGGACCCGCACAAGCGGUGGAGUAUGUGGCUUAAUUCGAAGCAACGCGAAGAACCUUACCAAAUCUUGACAUCCCCCUGACAGGCAAGCAAUGUUGCCAUUCCUUCGGGACAGGGGAGACAGGUGGUGCAUGGUUGUCGUCAGCUCGUGUCGUGAGAUGUUGGGUUAAGUCCCGCAACGAGCGCAACCCUUACCUUUAGUAGCCAGCAUUUUGGAUGGGCACUCUAGAGGGACUGCCAGGGAUAACCUGGAGGAAGGUGGGGAUGACGUCAAAUCAUCAUGCCCCUUAUGAUUUGGGCUACACACGUGCUACAAUGGCGUAAACAAAGGGAAGCGAGCCCGCGGGGGGGAGCAAAUCCCAAAAAUAACGUCUCAGUUCGGAUUGUAGUCUGCAACUCGACUACAUGAAGCUGGAAUCGCUAGUAAUCGCGGAUCAGAAUGCCGCGGUGAAUACGUUCCCGGGUCUUGCACACACCGCCCGUCA
rnacentral:rRNA from 1 species